GUUUCUCUUGGAGAAGUGUCAACUCUGGGGUGGCUGGACAGUUCAGUGGAGCAUUCGACUGGAGGACAUUGUGUCGGUGCCCUUCAUUUCGGGCACCAGCCUGGUCAUACAAGUCAGGCAGGAUGAGUCUGUAGCAAGUUUUAUGGGCAGUGAGCGCUUCCUUGUCUGUCAAGAUGAAGGUUUACUCAAAUGGCUCAAGCUGAAAAUUGAGACCGUGCUGUUGUUCACCAUGGAAGAAAGGCCCUGCCCUCUUGAUGGCUAAAUCACAAGAAAUCAUUGCUUAACUUGUUCUGCAGAAAUUUCACUCUGUGCCCUUCCUUAAAGCAACAGCAAGCACUCCAGUACACAGGCAAGGCCAAAGAAGAUCUUUCCGGUGUUUUAUUAAAAGGUAUGUUAUUAAGUAAUGUAGUAAACCAGACCAGUUGGAACACACUCAUGACAGUCAACAUAAAAUAGGACAUGCAGAACAAGAAAGUAUAUGACACAGGUGCCAACAACUGAAAAUGUAAUAGGAAGACUGUAGAUAUAAUGAAAAAGGAUAGCACUACCGUCAACUUAUCACUUCCAACCAAGCAUGUGAUCACAUGUGCCGUAGAAAGGAAGAUGAAGGGCAUAGGCAGCUGACAGCUGCACGAGUGUGCCAAUCAGUCGUUGUGGCUCUUGCCUGUGGUUUUCCUCUAUAAAUGCAUCUUGUACAGAAGCCACCAACCCCGUAACAUAUUGGUGUGGGGUGCUGGUUAGAGAAUCAGGCAACGGAGCUCCGCAGUGGACGUCGCAUAGCUUACCCAGCAACUUCACCAAUACGAAACCUCAGCAUCGGUGAGUGCAGUUAGAAAGUUGGCUCAUGUACCCGUGUUUCACUUUUAUUACUUGAAAUGCCUCUGUAAUUUCAUCCCUGCGCAGGUCCUUAACCCCUUAACUGCUUUGAACGAGGAGAGCUCGUCCUGCCUAACUGUCACCAAACUCUUUUGGACAAGUAAAACUCAUUCAAAGGAGUGUAGUGGGAAGGUGACUCAUGCAUAGUUCGCCCGCAAAUGCAAAAAAGAAGCUAUUCAUUUUCAUCUUCUUUGAGUGAUGAUGAUUCAAGUAUAAAGUGGCAAAUAUGAAGUGGCAGCAGCAAGCACAAGACCAAGUUGACUGGCGGAUUAUGGGAGAGACCUUUGUCCUGCAGUAAACGUAGUCAGGCUGAUGAUGAUGAUGAUGAUUCAAGUACAGAUAUUUAUUUUGUGUCCGAAAGUGAAGACAGCGAUGACGGUGAAUGAGUAGCUCCUCCGGUGAUGAUGAUGAUAGCUGGGACCCGAACAUUGCGAGUGCCCGCCAGUGAAGCCGCCUUGCAUUAUUCCGCGUUUUGAUAUUUUCCACACAACCCCAAAGCAUCCCAAGUGAAAUACCUCGAGAGUGCUUAGCUUACACAAGUAAAAAAAAAUGUAGUGUCUGUAACUGUUUUGUUUAUAAAGUUUUAAUUUUAUUAGUAGCAGGUAGCUGGUUUCCUAUGUAUUGUUCAGAAAUAAACUUUUUUGUGUUUAUUUGACUAAGUACGGGGUGAAAAUAUUUUUUCAACAUAAACUAUCUACUUUUUAGUACAAUGAGAAUCGAAAUGGAUCAUUAAAAAAAUAAACACCGUUUGACCAGAAAAAAAAAAUACUUUAGAGGUUAAGAAUGCAUCAUCACUACAGCAGCUUUGUUUAGCUCGGCUGCACAAUUGCACUGCCGGCAAUGAAGGGAUGGACACGUGAUGGUGUACUCUUCAGGUAGCUAGUAUGCU